rnacentral:lncRNA from 1 species
CGCAAAUAUUCUGAAGGACUGAGACGCUUAAGCCUGAUGAGAUCCAUAGCUUAAACGGAGGGCGAGGAGCGAAACACAGUGUCUUGCAAUAUAGGCACAGGGGAACAAAGAAACUUCUGUUCACCUCAGCUUUACGUAAGUGGGAAUAGAGCAGGAGCCAGGCUAACCAUCACCUGUCCUGCUGCCAAGUUCCUGCAGAGGUUCCUCCACAUUAAUCACGCUGUUUAAUCACGGCCAUCUGUUCCAACAGCCAGCUAUGUGGCAGUCCCUCGGGGCUGGGACACACCCACACCCACCCCCCGCGACGGUACCCGAGGCAGGUGGAGCUCGGUGAGGGGUGAAGGCGGCCCCUAGGGCGGGGAAGGUCGAGCAGCACCUGGAGGCGGCGGGGAGGAGGCCGGGGGCCGAGCUGUGGAGGCCAUUUGCCGGCGGGCGGGUGCGAGUGUCCCAGCCUUCACUGAAGCAGACCAGAUUCUAAAUCUUCAUACUUUGUACCAUUUCAAGCCAGUCUGUUGUCAGCUGCAACUGGUUCUUUUCAUCUUUUGUGGUAAAUGUCAGAAGCAUGGCUGUUGGUCUACAAGAGCUCUAGAGUCUUCUUUGGAGCAGGAACCUGACAUUUUGUACCAAAAUAGCCUAAAAACAGCCUCAGGGUCAUACUGUCACUUUAAAAGUUAACGCAUCAAAGAUUUAACACCUGGUAAGUACUGCAAGUGUUACUUUGAAAAGUGAAAGUUAUUUUCAUUUGGAAAGUGUUCCAAGGCUUGACAGCCUUUCCCACACAUUCAUACUGUCUUCCAACUGGAAAAAUUUGGAAAAUAGUAGGGAAGUAUGUGUGUGUGUCCGGAGGGAAAGCUCACCCUACAGAAGACAUAUUUGGAAGCAAUCUUUUUCCAAGUACAGUUGAAAUGAAAGGAAAUCUUACUUUUCUGAUGAAAAUAUUUUUGUCAAGAAUUUCUGACCUCUUCACAUUCUCCUGCCAGUGAUGAACAUGGAGGGAGAAAAAGAAUUUGCUUUUCUUAUUUCCUCCAAACAACAAACCGAAAGACUAUAGGAAAUGACAUUAAAGCAGUGAAAGUGGUGUUAGAAUUGCGAAGCCAAGGAUUUUAGCCAUAGGAAAUGAGGGAAUUGAGGCUCCCGUUUGAUUUUACUCAUCACUUAUGCCCGAGC